GUGGCCAUGAUCGCCUUCUUUUUGUGAUUUCCUCUCUUUUCGGCACAUUUUCUCUCUUUUCUCCGCCAAAAACGGUGAUUCCUGGCUCUCUCCCUCUCUCUUUUUCUUAUUCUAUCUCUUCUUUCCCUUCUUCUCUGACACGUUUGGUCGAUUGGGGUAAGGAACAGUUGAAAAAUUUUCUCUUCAGUGAAUCUAAACCACACGAUUGUGGCACACGUGGCUGUGUGCAAUCCCUUGGAUGCAGUUUCAUUAAUGGCAAAACUAUAAUAUUGUCACGCGUGAUUCUCAGCCUUUAGAUUGCAAUCUCUUUUUAUUAGGAUUGUUCGUGCGUGUGGUCAUUGGAUCGCUUUAGAACGUAUGCAAGUUGUUCAAUUGUCAUCUUGUGUGUACAUCGUUGGAUCGAAAUCAUUACCUUUACAUGCUUGGGAGUUGUCCAAUCCAUUC
rnacentral:lncRNA from 1 species